CAGAGGGUGCAAGCGUUAUUCGGAAUUAUUGGGCGUAAAGCGCAUGUAGGUGGUUAGAUAAGUCUGAUGUGAAAUCCCCGGACUCAAUUCGGGAAGUGCAUUGGAUACUGUUUGACUAGAGUAUGGGAGAGGUAAGCGGAAUUCCAGGUGUAGAGGUGGAAUUCGUAGAUAUCUGGAGGAACAACAGAGGCGAAGGCGGCUUACUGGACCAUUACUGACACUGAGAUGCGAAAGCGUGGGGAGCAAACAGGAUUAGAUACCCUGGUAGUCCACGCCGUAAACUAUGGAUACUAGACGUCGGAAGGUCUUACCCUUUCGGUGUCGCAGCUAACGCAUUAAGUAUCCCGCCUGAGGAGUACGGUCGCAAGAUUA
rnacentral:rRNA from 1 species